UCUUUUUCCCACAGAAAGAAAGAACUCAAAAGAGAUCUCCCAAAAAGGUGAAACAUGAAAAGCAUUGAAAUAAUCUCAGGACAAGUUAGGAGAGACCUAAAGGAAAAUUGGCCUGGGGCUGUCCCCAGAUCUGUGAAACAAUUGCUUCCUUCCUUCAUCUCAGAUGUCUCACUGCCAAGCCAGGUGGUCUCAAUAUUGAGCCUUAACUUCCAAUAGAUCAUGAAAGCUUUCCAGCCCAUCUGCAAAAAUGCUUCUGAGAAAGAGUUUAUUAACCACAUAAUCAAUUUGAGGAACAGAGAAAGGGAUGAUGAGCUGAGGAGAAGAGAGAGAGGUAAGAGAAAUACUUUUAGUAA
rnacentral:lncRNA from 1 species